UGCUUCCCGUGAACCAUUAUUUCUAGCAAAAUCUCUUGAUCUACUAAGGACUCCUCUAGUAAUAAACUGUUGUAGCAGAAAUCCAAGGUCAACUGGAGAUCCCACUUCAGCUCAUUAUGAGAAAUAUUCUAAUGUUUCAGAGGUUCAUGAGUCCUUAUCAUGAAUUUCAUGAGAUAACUUUUAUGGCAGUGACUUGACCUAAUGCUAUCUUGUGUAUUUUAUAGGCGAUCUCAAAACUGAAGCAGCUCUCAUGGCCAGUUGAUUCGAGUCACCUAGACAAGGACCAGUCGAAGAUGUUUCUAGAGCG
rnacentral:lncRNA from 1 species